CCCCGACAUUUCCUUUCAGUCGGAAAUUAGAAACCCUAGCAGAGCUAAACUCGUCCAUUUCGCAUCCCCUCCGACGCGAUUUGGGCUUCGAUUCGGCCGUCUGGUAGAGGAUAUUCGAGGAAGGGUUGAUCUCCGCCGCUCCAUUGCCGGUCGGAAAGUGGAAGGAGAAGCGGAAACUAGGCGGACGUCCCUGCUCAGAUAUGUUUCUACAUCCCCAUUUGGAGAAGAAUGGUGAAGAUUCCCAAGCAAGUAGAAGGAUUUGUGCUCAGAACGUGAAAAUUGUAUUUGACGCAGCCAUUAAGGUGGUACUGCAGCCCCCUAAGCAGAGGAAGAGAAAGAAGAGAAAAUCCCACGGCGGCUGCUCCAAACUAUGAUUCAUGAAGAGAAGAUGAAGAAGAAAAGCCAUUCGGAAUGUUGGGCAGUUCAGGGAUGAGGUUCUGUUAGGUACUUACAGAAGAAGCACCAGAGGGCUUUGCUUUGGUUAGUUUAUCGAUUUGACUGAGAGGAGCAGGUCGAAGGUUAACAGUUUCUAGAAGGGGGCUUUAUAUUAUUGUUGGGCUUAUGUUGUGAUAUGCAUAAUAUUGUAGAUGGGACGACGAUGUGAUACAAAAUGCAGUUACGAUUUCAUUCUCCUCCUUUCCUUUCCCUUCUCUUCCUCGCAUUUUUUUUCCUUUUAAUGAAUUGUAUCCAAACGAGUAAUGAAUGCAAAAUCGGUUUUCAA